AGUAGGCGUGGCGUUUUCCUUUUCGGGUAUGUGACGUCAUGUGACCUCUGACACUUCGUGUGCAAAACAGUAUUACUCCGCCAGUUGUUCACAAGCAAGUUUUCGGCUUUGUAGUUGCAUUAUUUUCCGAACGGAUUUGAGAGAAUCCGAUAUUAUCCAUGGAGAGCUAGAAGUGAGACUGUUGACCCGCAAGUGUUAUAUUCCAGUUUAUUUUGUGUAACCAAUACUUGAUAAUGAAAUAAUUUUUACUGAUUAUAAUCCUUACUGGAUAAAGAGUACAGUGCCUCAUAUCUACAUUUGUGAUUGUCACAAGAAUGUUAUUCAGCUUGUGCUAAAAGGAGGGAAGAGAGCAUAUAUGGAUGGCAGAGGUUCACCCAACCUGGAUGACUACCCAGAGGUCUCAAUUAAGUUGUAUAUACUGAAGUGACUUUGUUUAGAUCAGAAGCAACAUUAAUGUGUGCCUUUACAAUCAUUUGAAGGAAUUAAUUUAAAUAUGCACAGUUUAUAUGUAUUCUGACAUAAGGACAUUUGGAUUUCACUGUAUCCAAUGCACAGAACUAGGCAAACAGAGGAAAUGUGCAGUGUGUAAGAAAUCAAUGCUAUAAUUAUGAUGUGGGACUACUUGUGGAUUGCUAUCAAGAACCGCAUCAACAAUAGAUGGUGUGUGCUAUGAUCCCCGUUUGGGGACUGGACUAAAAUUUGAAAUCACGGACAGGUUGCUGAUGGUGUAAUUGGAAAAAGAUGUUUUUCUUACUACCAGCACAGAAAAAAAUUUGGCAGUUAAUGGGUUAAGAGAAUAAGUUUACAUGAUCAAAAGAUUGAGAUUUAAUUCGCAUUAUAUUUAGAGAUCAUAACAUUUUGCUUGACAUGAUUAUUAUAUCUUUUCAUAUUAACACUGCUCAAUCAUUUAAAAUUAAAGCUCAGACUUGAAAUUUCUUUUUUAUUGGACAACAGUUUUGCUUUAAAUUUGAAGUAUGCAAAGAAGCCAUUCUGAAUGUAGGUACCAGUACACAAACUUAAUUAAAAAAAAAACAAACUUGUAUGGUCACAUGGAAGUAUAAGAAAAACAAAGCAAAAACUGAGUUUCUAUCUUUAUUAGUUUUGAAGAUUUUACUAUUCAAAGUUCAUGAUUUGCAUCACAACUAUAAUUUGGCCGUGUUUGAAGCUGUCAUGUGUAGCUUUAUGAAAUGUUAUUAGUUUCCAAUUACUUUGUAUGAGAAGUUACGAACACUAGCUUUCUACUCAAGUGGCUAAAAAACUAAUUUACAAAAAGACAUACUGGAAAAAAUACAUCAAAAUUUUUAAAAACAGUAUUGCGCUUGGCCAUUUUGCAUAAAGACACCAUAUUUCAAGUACUCCAUUUCAAAAACUAAUUUAUUACAUACACCUAAAACAUUUAUUUCGAAGUACCUAUUAUAUACUGUUAUCCUAAUUUUUUAUACCAACCUGAAAUGUCUUGUGACAUAUAUGCACCUUCCAGCAUUACAAAAGCAUCCAUUUUUCAGGUAUAAAAAGAGACGUUUUAGGGGUAGCAAACUUAAAAUAGGUGUAAAUUCAAAGACAAAUUUGGUUCAAAUUUGAAACACUGAUAGAAAAAAAAAAUCUACUUUUUAAUCUAUAUUAACAACUUUUACAUGUAGUGGAGGGGGGCGGGUUGUGGUUAAAAAUGAAAGAGUAUAAAUAUUUGCUCUGGACACUCGUCUUCCUACUCAACCCAAACUGUUACUUGAUGGUGAUGAGAGAAAUAACAUACACAAGCACAAUUAUAAGUGAUAGCCCAAAAGUUUGUGUGAGUGAUAGUCCCCCCCUCCUCCAUUUUCAUUAAGAGGAGAGAUUUAAGUAGUUUUUAUAAAUAAUAAAAAGAGUAGUUGUAAUAAACAAACAGUAAUCACAUUUGGCACUAAAAUGUGAUAUAUACCACUAGAUUCAGCAGAAAAUGCUCUUUCACCCUCACUCAAGGAAGCACAUGGUAUUUUGCACCUGAUUUGAGCUAUGUCAUUUCAAAGUUGACGAAUAUUUUGCUUCAUUUUUUAUUUUGCUUUAGAAAUGUUAAAUUUCAUUAACUUAUUUAAUUCAAUAUAUAUUUAUCAAUAUCCAUAUGAAAGGUUAUGAACGUGAGCACAAAUACUUAACCCAACCAUCAAAUUGUGUUACACACAAGGAAAAUAGUCACUGCGCAGUUUUCCGAUUUUUAUGCUGGGUACCAUAUACUCUCACAAAAUAGGCAUUAUUCUUUCAGUCACACAAAAGAAAGACAUACUCUGAAUAUAAGACGAAUAGUUAUUAUUUAUUGUGAUUUAAAAGUGCUAUUUCUGUUUCUUAUAAUUCCUAAAAUACUUGAACAGUUGAAAACUUGAGAGUUCAAAGGCUAUUUUCGUUGUUUCAUUCAUUAAGCACAGCUAUGCUUUUAGAAAUAAAAGCAACAAAAUA